rnacentral:rRNA from 1 species
UGGGGAAUUUUGGACAAUGGGCGAAAGUCUGAUAACAGCGACGCCGCGUGAAGGACGAAGGUCUUCGGAUCGUAAACUUCUUUUUCAGGGGAAGAAAGCGCGCAAGAGUUUGACGGUACUCUGUGAAUAAUCCCCGGCUAACUACCUGCGCCCAACCCCGGGCAUGAAGCCGUAGAAAAA